UACGUAGGUGGCAAGCGUUGUCCGGAUUUACUGGGCGUAAAGAGCGCGCAGGCGGUCGUUCAAGUCGCGUGUGAAAGCCCCCGGCUCAACUGGGGAGGGUCACGCGAUACUGAUCGACUCGAAGGCAGGAGAGGGUAGUGGAAUUCCCGGUGUAGUGGUGAAAUGCGUAGAGAUCGGGAGGAACACCAGAGGCGAAGGCGGCGACCUGGCCGCUUGCUGACACUGAGGCACGAAAAGCUGGGGGAGCAAACAGG
rnacentral:rRNA from 1 species